rnacentral:rRNA from 1 species
GACGAACGCUGGCGGCGUGCUUAACACAUGCAAGUCGAACGGAAAGGCCCUGCUUUUGUGGGGUGCUCGAGUGGCGAACGGGUGAGUAACACGUGAGUAACCUGCCCUUGACUUUGGGAUAACUUCAGGAAACUGGGGCUAAUACCGGAUAGGAGCUCCUGCUGCAUGGUGGGGGUUGGUAAGUUUCGGCGGUUGGGGAUGGACUGGCGGCUUAUCAGCUUGUUGGUGGGGUAGUGGCUUACCAAGGCUUUGACGGGUAGCCGGCCUGAGAGGGUGACCGGCCACAUUGGGACUGAGAUACGGCCCAGACUCCUACGGGAGGCAGCAGUGGGGAAUAUUGCACAAUGGGCGGAAGCCUGAUGCAGCAACGCCGCGUGCGGGAUGACGGCCUUCGGGUUGUAAACCGCUUUCGCCUGUGACGAAGCGUGAGUGACGGUAAUGGGUAAAGAAGCACCGGCUAACUACGUG